CAUGAAGUAAUUUUGCUUUUGAGAUAUUAAUUUUAUGAAUAGCUAAUGUGUCUGGUCGUGCCUGGGACUAAAUGCCUGUUGGAGAAAUAGGCUAACAAAGGGUGAAGGUGAAGAUCAUUAGAGGUUUUGGAGCCGCUGAGACGGGUUGCUGGGGUUGUGUAACUGUGCCUAGAGGGCGGGGUUCCUGUACAUUCCUACUUCACCAGAUAACCUGCCCCCAACACCACUUCAGCUUCUGCCAGACAGAUGGAACUCUCCAACAUGAAAAUCUGCGCAACCAUUCCAAUAAGCAGGACUCUGCCUGAGGUUGUCUCAAGGAUGCCGAAGAAAAAGACUUGUGGUCUGGGAGCGCUCUUACUCCGACAUUGAGAUGUCUCACUGGUUUGCACAAUGAAGAUUGAUACCAUGAUCGUCCUACUUGCAUCAAAUGACAAUUAUUCAUCGGUGUGCUGUUAUCAAGCAGAGAUUUCCAAAUAUUAGUUCUUUAACUCAAAGAAAAGUAGCUGCAUCCAGGCAGAAAGGCAUGUGGGAGCCCCCUAAGUGUUUAUGAUUUGUCUCCCGACAAAGUUGCUCCAGCAUUAUUGUUUGUUUCUUUUUUAAAUGCUUCUCUCUGUAGUAUCCUCCAGACUCUAAACUACUAGAUGGGUUCCUAAGUUCCUUCAGAUGUGUCCCAAGUCAGAAUUCUUUAUCCACUUCCCACCCUCUAGUUCCAUGGAUUAAGAAGAAACAAUAAUAAAGUAA